UGCCACCAUGUGAAGAAGGUCCUUGCUUCCUCUUCAUCAUCUAUCAUGAUUGCAAGUUUAGGCCUCCUCAGCCACGUGCAACUUUUAUUUCACCCUGAAGCCAAAGAGAACUUUCUGAAAGACAAAUUUGCUCAUGCUAUAAUAGUUACUGACAAAUAUUUAAAGGACUAAGUUGUGUAAGGAAUCUACACUGUCAGGCAGAACCAGGAUUCCUGGAAGUAGAACUGGGCUGCUUCAUAAGUCUGACUUCAUAUGACAGCUAGAUUCAAAAGGAUGAAAUCAGUAGAGGUGAGACCUCUUGAUGCCUUGGCUUGGAAGUCACAUAUUCUAUUGGCCAAAGCAAAUCACAAGGCCACCACAAAUUCAAGGAGAUGAAGAAAUAGACUCUACCUCUCUUGAUUGGCUUAUAAUAUGGUCAGUUCUUCAGAGGAAGAGGAAAAUUUCAUCUGGCCUCAAAUCUCAGUGAUCGCAUUUGUGGGAACAUAAUGUCUGAAGUAAAGACUAAGUAGAAGUCUGACAAGCAAAAAAAGAAAAAAAGACAAAGACACUCCAAGCAAGAGAAACAACCUGAGCAGAAGCACCCAGGUGAGGUUGAAAACAGAGAGGACAGAGACUGCCUGUGUUCUUAGGGUUGGAACCUUGGACCAAAAAGCAGGGUUCCUUCGGACUCUGGCUCCGUUUCUUCCCUGACUGGCAGCCAGUACUCAUGACUUCUUGCUCUGAGCUUUCAAGAAGACUGGAUCCGUCACUUUAGAACAGACUCGACCUAGACAGUCUACCAAGG
rnacentral:lncRNA from 1 species